rnacentral:lncRNA from 1 species
CUCUCCAGUAGCCUCUGAAUAUCAGCUAUGCAGAUAAGCAUAUGCUUCGUUUUCCACAUUAUAUUCCUAUUCAUUGUUCAAUAACAUGUUAAGAUUAACCCAAAUGAAUGUGUGUGUUUCCUCUAGAGAAGAGUAACAGAAGCCUAAAAUAAAUAUCAUCUGUUUUCCUUUGCCCUAAAAUGUGAACUUUCCAUAAAACGCUAGCUGAAGAUCCUUUGCUCAUGCAGACCUAGAGUUGAUGUUAUGGAUGUGUUUGCACUUUUAUGAUAGUGUCACCUCGUGUAAUGCUGAGAGGCUUAGGUUAGUGUUCAGGAUGACAGAGCUGCAGACUUGGGCUCUGAUUAAAAUUAGUUUCAAAUAUCAAUGUUGAAUUUGUCUUCAUUUCUUUCAGUCUUCAGUCUUGCCUUUGGUGUGAGCUCUUAAGUUCCCACUUGCUCCACUACAGUAUAAAUUACCUGUUGUUAUAUCUAGGGAGAGAAAGUGAAUUGUUUCCAUAUCCUCUUCUCCCUUACUUUGCCAUCUGCUCUCAGUUCCCAUCAAGUUAGUGUAAAGAUAGUGUGGGGAGAGUUUCAUCUUAGUGGAGGAUACAUAUAUAUAUAGAGAGAGUUUAGUGGAAAUACCUUUGAGUAGCCUGAUGCUAAAUGACACUUUUCUUAUGCACACUCAACGUACCAUUUGCUUUAAGGUGGCUAUUUGUGAUCUCCUUGUGUUGUGAUGUUUCUACUUGUCUGUCUUUCCUAUGUAUUUCCAUUUCAUAGCAGCUAGUAUUCAAACUUUGUAUACAUUUUACACUGCUACCCAAACUAGUCAGUGACGUGUUUUGAAGUUUUCAUGGUACAAAUUAAGGUUCUAUACAUAGUGUAGAACUUGGUGGUCACUGAUGACUGGGGUUUCUUCUCUUUUCAUUUAUAUUCAAUAAAUAAAUAGAUUUCAUAGGCUGAGAGUCUGUCUCACUGGGCACUCUUGCCCAGCAUGUACGUAAGCUAGAGCUCCACACAGCAGUGCACAGUAACAGUAAGUAGACUUCAUUUUUACAUAGCCUGGGAUACCAGUGUAUUUUACAUAGCCUGGGAUACCAGUGUAUUUUACAUAGCCUGGGAUACCAGUGUAUUUUACAUAGCCUGGGAUACCAGUGUAUUUUAAGAUUCUUCAGAAGAAAUGCAGAUUUUCAUUAGGGGCUCACAGCAGUCUGCCUUGCUGACUGUUUUCAUACAGACUCCUUACAACAGAGCUCUUUUGCCAAGGUCUGAGCCAACCAGAUCAUUGAAUCCUAGUUAGGACCUAAGUCCUAAUUUUAGGUUCCUCAAAAGAAAAACAUUACUUGCCCCGACUUUGCUACAAUAUUCUGGAUUUGUUUGUUUGUUUGUUUGCUAAAUCUGGUUGUUAGAUCCUUGUUAAUAGUGCUCUGGUUAGAAUUCAGUUAAGGUUAUUUGUCUGAGAUAACACGAGAGUCAGCAGCAGUCCAGACUAGCCACUGUGUGUGUGAUAAUCUGUGCUGAAGUUUCCACACCAGAUUGUAUUUUCUGUACUUAGAACCAUAGACUUUCCUCCUGUUAUACUUAUCUCUGCUGUUUACAGAAACGUUAUGCCCUACUAGAAAAUUCACUAGCAAAAUUACCAAGGAUUUGCCCCCAUUUGGGCU